rnacentral:tRNA from 1 species
GCAGAAAUGAUGGAAUUGGCAGACAUGCUAGACUUAAAAUCUAGUGGCAGUAGUGCCGUGAGGGUUCGAGUCCCUCUUUCUGCACCA